rnacentral:piRNA from 1 species
UGUGAAGCCACUGACCCCACAUGGCAGGG